rnacentral:rRNA from 1 species
GAUGAACGCUGGCGGCGUGCCUAAUACAUGCAAGUCGAGCGAACAGAUGAGGAGCUUGCUCCUCUGACGUUAGCGGCGGACGGGUGAGUAACACGUGGAUAACCUACCUAUAAGACUGGGAUAACUUCGGGAAACCGGAGCUAAUACCGGAUAAUAUAUUGAACCGCAUGGUUCAAUAGUGAAAGACGGUUUUGCUGUAACUUAUAGAUGGAUCCGCGCCGCAUUAGCUAGUUGGUAAGGUAACGGCUUACCAAGGCAACGAUGCGUAGCCGACCUGAGAGGGUGAUCGGCCACACUGGAACUGAGACACGGACCAGACUCCUACGGGAGGCAGCAGUAGGGAAUCUUCCGCUAUGGGCGAAAGCUUGACGGAGCAACGCCGCGUGAGUGAUGAAGGUCUUCGGAUCGUAAAACUCUGUUAUUAGGGAAGAACAAAUGUGUAAGUAACUAUGCACGUCUUGACGGUACCUAAUCAGAAAGCCACGGCUAACUACGUG